rnacentral:sRNA from 1 species
AUAAUCAAGCUUCUUCUUGCUUCUCAAAGCUUUGAUGGUUUAGCCGAAGUCCAUAUGAGUCUUUGUCUUUGUAUCUUCUAACUAGGAAACACUACUUAGGCUUUUAGGAUAAGCU